UGCAAGUCGAACGGUGAAGCGAGAGCUUGCUCUCGUGGAUCAGUGGCGAACGGGUGAGUAACACGUGAGUAACCUGCCCCAGACUCUGGGAUAAGCCUUGGAAACGAGGUCUAAUACCGGAUACGAGACGAGAUCGCAUGGUCAUCGUCUGGAAAGAAUUUCGGUCUGGGAUGGACUCGCGGCCUAUCAGCUUGUUGGUGAGGUAAUGGCUCACCAAGGCGACGACGGGUAGCCGGCCUGAGAGGGCGACCGGCCACACUGGAACUGAGACACGGUCCAGACUCCUACGGGAGGCAGCAGUGGGGAAUAUUGCACAAUGGGCGCAAGCCUGAUGCAGCGACGCCGCGUGGGGGAUGAAGGCCUUCGGGUUGUAAACCCCUUUCAGCAGGGAAGAAGCGAAAGUGACGGUACCUGCAGAAGAAGCGCCGGCUAACUACGUGCCAGCAGCCGCGGUAAUACGUAGGGCGCAAGCGUUGUCCGGAAUUAUUGGGCGUAAAGAGCUCGUAGGCGGUCUGUCGCGUCUGCUGUGAAAACCCGAGGCUCAACCUCGGGCCUGCAGUGGGUACGGGCAGACUAGAGUGUGGUAGGGGAGACUGGAAUUCCUGGUGUAGCGGUGGAAUGCGCAGAUAUCAGGAGGAACACCAAUGGCGAAGGCAGGUCUCUGGGCCACUACUGACGCUGAGGAGCGAAAGCAUGGGGAGCGAACAGGAUUAGAUACCCUGGUAGUCCAUGCCGUAAACGGUGGGCACUAGAUGUGGGGCUCUUUCCAUGAGUUCCGCGUCGCAGCUAACGCAUUAAGUGCCCCGCCUGGGGAGUACGGCCGCAAGGCUAAAACUCAAAGGAAUUGACGGGGGCCCGCACAAGCGGCG
rnacentral:rRNA from 1 species